rnacentral:rRNA from 1 species
AAGGCUAAAUACUCCUGACUGACCGAUAGUGAACCAGUACCGUGAGGGAAAGGCGAAAAGAACCCCGGCGAGGGGAGUGAAAAAGAACCUGAAACCGUGUACGUACAAGCAGUGGGAGCACCCUUUGGGGUGUGACUGCGUACCUUUUGUAUAAUGGGUCAGCGACUUAUAUUCUGUAGCAAGGUUAACCGAAUAGGGGAGCCGUAGGGAAACCGAGUCUUAACCGGGCGUUAAGUUGCAGGGUAUAGACCCGAAACCCGGUGAUCUAGCCAUGGGCAGGUUGAAGGUUGGGUAACACUAACUGGAGGACCGAACCGACUAAUGUUGAAAAAUUAGCGGAUGACCUGUGGCUGGGGGUGAAAGGCCAAUCAAACCGGGAGAUAGCUGGUUCUCCCCGAAAGCUAUUUAGGUAGCGCCUCGUGAAUUCAUCUCCGGGGGUAGAGCACUGUUUCGGCUAGGGGGCCAUCCCGGCUUACCAACCCGAUGCAAACUGCGAAUACCGGAGAAUGUUAUCACGGGAGACACACGGCGGGUGCUAACGUCCGUCGUGAAGAGGGAAACAACCCAGACCGCCAGCUAAGGUCCCAAAGUCAUGGUUAAGUGGGAAACGAUGUGGGAAGGCCCAGACAGCCAGGAUGUUGGCUUAGAAGCAGCCAUCAUUUAAAGAAAGCGUAAUAGCUCACUGGUCGAGUCGGCCUGCGCGGAAGAUGUAACGGGGCUAAACCAU